rnacentral:rRNA from 1 species
CAGUCGCCGCGGUAAUACGUAGGUGGCAAGCGUUGUCCGGAAUUAUUGGGCGUAAAGGGCUCGCAGGCGGUUUCUUAAGUCUGAUGUGAAAGCCCCCGGCUCAACCGGGGAGGGUCAUUGGAAACUGGGAAACUUGAGUGCAGAAGAGGAGAGUGGAAUUCCACGUGUAGCGGUGAAAUGCGUAGAAAUGUGGAGGAACACCAGUGGCGAAGGCGACUCUCUGGUCUGUAACUGACGCUGAGGAGCGAAAGCGUGGGGAGCGAACAGGAUUAGAUACCCCUGUAGUCCCUGUCUCUUAUAC